UGAAGGUAUACCAUGCGAUUUGUCUACUCCUGAAGCAACUCCACAUGAAGGCGAAUCCGCAUCUUUCUGAAUGCCAGGUGUUUCACAUCAGUUAAGGACAAAGCUGCAGCCAGUAAUGAAGUCGAAGCCAGCACAAGCAGUGCCAGCAAGUUUUGCAGUAAGUGUGAACUUCCUGAGCAGAACAGAUCAGAUGACAGGAGAAGGCUUUCCAUAGAGUGCACAUCUUAUCACCAAUGGCAAACCCCUCAAACCAAAUCCGGUAUCAGACCUGUGGAAUGAAAGCACGUUGUACAAGCAGUUUGAGCUACAGGAGCUCGUCUGUUGGAUCGGACCACACGGACCAGCCUUCGCUCCCCACGUGCAUCACUGAGCCUCGGCCGACCGUGACCCUGGCGCCGGUUCACCACUGUUCUUCCUUGGAGCCCUUUCAACCGAUACUGACCACUGCACACCGGAAACAUCCGACAAGAGCUGCGGUUUUGAAAACACUCUGACCCAGUCGUCUAGCCGCUGUCAAACUCGUUUAGAUCCUUUCGCUCAACCGUUUUCUUGAUUCUAACACAUUAAGUUUGUAAACAAAAUGUUCUCUCGCUGCCUAAAAUAUCCCACCCACUAACAGCUGUCAUGAUUAAUAGAAAAUCAGUGCUCAUAAUGUUAUAAUGGUGUGUGUGUAUAU